UAAUAAGUGUUUUAUGGCACUUUUUAAAUCCAUAUCCACCUUGUGUGCAAUGUCAGUCGAUCUUCUUCAUGGAGAUCGACCAAACAUCAACCUUUAUCUUUUAACUCUUUGUCUGAAUAAUAUUAUGAAUAAACAAUUCAAAAUA
rnacentral:misc_RNA from 1 species